rnacentral:lncRNA from 1 species
UUUUUUGUGAAGAACAGAACGAAAAGGAAUCUUAAAUUGUCCAUCAGAGAUUUUACCAGACGAACUAACAACACUUUCACAAACUAGAGCUAAGUUCAAACCCUCAAUUCAAAAUAAUUCCUUUAAGAUUAAACGAAGCAUCUAGCUAGAUUAUGAUCGAAACCCUAAGGAGGACGAUGAAUUGGGGUCAAUUCAGGAAAGAUCUCUAUUGAAUAAAUUAAAAAGAAGAGAUUGUGAAAACUCACCGGCGUGACAAAUCGACGGCGACGGCGAGAUUCGAUGAGCUAGGGAGAAGACAAGGCUCGGCGAAGAAAGAUUCUCUCUCGUUCUAUCUAGCCUUGCUCACAUAGAAGAAGAAGAAGAAGAAGAAGCAUUAAUGCCAUUUUUUCUCUUAUCCCCCUUUUGCUCCAAUUAUU